UGGCUUGGAGAAUUUUGAGCAUUACUUCACUAGUGUGUGAGAUGAGUGCAGUUGUGCGGUAGGCUAGCUGAUUGCAAAUUUCCAACCUGGAGCCCAUCUAUCUCCCACCUCAAUUUCAAUCUGUAAUUAAUAGGAAAACUUAUGAAUGACAUUUUUCUAUUUAUUUUACACUGUGGCACACCUUAUUUAAGCUGCUAACAGUCAGAUGUGGCCACUGACUAGACGUCAGAGGCUCCCUGCUUCCAAGGAAUGUAGCAGAAGCUGCCAGAUCCUGAGGCCUCCAUGAAGACUGNUCACAGGGAAAGUAAAUGCAAGGUGCUUGGCACAACCCUGGUGCAUAGAACAUACGGGACAAUGUCUACUGUCACAGCUGUAACUGUCCUUGUGGUCCUCAUCUGCUCGCACACGGUACAGUCCCCAUGCGACUUGGCUGGCCAACUUUUCCCAGCCCACCUGAAUGGAGUCACCACUAAGCGAGUCAUGUUAGGAGAAACAGAGCUGAUUAUCCUUGAGCCAGGAGCCAGUCCACCCACCGCCUGACAAUGGUGUGAUUCAGGGCAGCGAUAGAGGAUUGUUGACUUUACAAUAGGGGGAGGUCGGCCAGGUGAGGCAUUGUUUGCUGCAGCUAGGAGAGGCUCAAUCCAUGGGGUUAGGUCUCUGGGGAGGUAGAAUUAUGGUAUCAAGUCUUGACCUGAGAAGGUGGGUUGUGUACUCAGGAAAAACAUGCAGCAGCCACAGCUCCAAAACUUCAGGCUGGCACUGUCCUUGUUAAAGAUGAUCUCCAUGGCUGGUUGGCCUGUUUUUCCUUCUCUUUCCUCCUUCUGUCUGCUCUUCCUUACAGACAUACUUUAAUCCGUUUACUACCAAGGCUUGGCAUUACACAUAAUAAGCACCACUGCUAAGUUCUCUGUGCGCCUAGCCCUGUGCUAAAUAUUUUGUUGUCUUCUUCUGAUUUAAGGUCCUCAGCCAACCCAGGGCUAUAGGUAUCUCUAUUAUUCCCAUUUUUCAAAUAAGGAAAACUGAGGAACAGAGAGGUUAAGCAGCUUACCCAAGGGUUUACAGCAGGGUGUGCAUAUAGCCUGUGUGGCUUUAG
rnacentral:lncRNA from 1 species